CGCAUUUAUGCGUCAUGUCGGUAUGACGCCAUAGACGCAUUUUUGCGUCAACCGCAGUAAUCCGGCUUCUCUCUGCUCUAAAGAAACCAGGGAGCGGCUGCUGCUAUUUUAACGCUACUACUACGUCCAGUUACUGUUCAGGUAAGUAUAUAUGCAGUCAAAACUUCGUACUGUGCAGAAAAUAUUUUGGCAAUACACGCUUGAAUAUGUAGCUAGUUUACAAAUUAAAUAUUAAUUAUUGGCAUGAACAAACACUAUCAAAAUAUUAUAUAGAGCUACUAGCAUGGCUAAGAGGCCACACUAGAUCAGUGAGGAGGUGCUGCAUGAAAUUGUAGGCUACCCACUAGCUCUGGGACCUGCACAGAUUGACAUAGAAGACCCAGUAGCCAGAGUACAGCAAGGUAACAGAGAUGUGCCAGUCAUGGAGGGCAGUGAUGAUGAGUUUUCUGAUUGAGAACAGUUUGGAGAGGAGCUUGAAGAUCUGGAUAGGACAUUGACACUGCAUGAGCUGAGCACUGUUGUGAAAGUCCUACCACCAACGUCAACCUUCCUGUACAUGGCAUUGUCUGUGCGCGUGUAUGUGUAGGCGACUCCAAGGUACUCCAAAAGGGACCCAGUGGCAGUGCAUAGUGUGACAGCAAAGUAUCAGCAGUAGCCACAGACAUCAGACACUUUUUAUAUCUAUUGUUAGUUACGCAAAGAAUUAUAAUCGUUACUGAUGGUAAAAAAAAUGUUUUUCAAGG